rnacentral:lncRNA from 1 species
CCCAGCUGAGCCUCUCAGAGGAGGGAUGUGGGUUUGAAAGACACAAUAAAGACUUUUCAAAGCACUGGAGGUGGUUUGUGUGGUACCUGAAGGUGUCACCAGGCAAGCAGGCUCUGCCUGGCAGGAAUGAAAAUGCCUGAAAUGCUGCCUGGGCCCUUCCAGGGAGCUUGCAAGGCACAGACUUGGAACUAUUUCAGCCCAGGGAUUAAAGAAACAUGCUUUGAAAAAGAGGAAUGAUAAAGAAAAAAAGAGAAAUUAAAUAGAAGGUUGGAUUUUUAUUUUUUUUUUUGGUUGGAGCCUGUUUAAAUUACUGUCAGCAGUGUAAAAUGAUGUAAAAUGGAUCAGAGCUGCCAUCUCAAUUUUUAAUGAGAUCCCAUCUGAAACAGGAAGAUCUCAGGCACGUGGUCCAGACUGCCCAAGUUCAGAGAGCUUCAGAAGAGGAGUUCAGGCUCAGAACUGAAUUUGUCAAUUAUUCACAGAUUCAGCCUGACUCUGGGUCCUGUGACAAGGAAGAUGGGAGGAAGAUGUUUCAUUUCAAUAAGCUAAAGGAUGUCAGCAGCUCAGAGCACACUUUGCCAUCAACAUUCUUCACUCCAAUGCCUGAAAUCUCUGGGUUCUGCCUGUGCCACACAUUUGCUACUCCAUGA